UACGUAGGGUGCGAGCGUUAAUCGGAAUUACUGGGCGUAAAGCGUGCGCAGGCGGCGCGUUAAGACAGGUGUGAAAGCCCCGAGCUUAACUUGGGAAUUGCGCUCGAAACUACGUGGCUGGAGUAUGGCAGAGGAAGGUGGAAUUCCACGUGUAGCGGUGAAAUGCGUAGAGAUGUGGAGGAACACCGAUGGCGAAGGCAGCCUUCUGGGCCAAUACUGACGCUCAUGCACGAAAGCGUGGGGAGCAAACAGG
rnacentral:rRNA from 1 species